rnacentral:rRNA from 1 species
AUGGACUUCGACGACCACGACGACGGCGACGAGGAGAUGCGGAUGUCCAUGCCCAUGCCGGUGAGCUCCAGCUACGAGCCCCCGCCGCCGCUCUCCACGGGGUUUGGCGGCGCCGGGGUUGCGCCCAGCAAGCCUCCUGGUGGUGGUGGUGGUGGCGGUGGUGGCGAGCUUGGCGGCCGUGCCAAGGCCCCCGGCGGCGGUGCCAGGUACCGCGAGUGCCUCAAGAACCACGCGGUCGGCAUCGGAGGGUACGCCGUCGACGGCUGCGGCGAGUUCAUCGCCGGCGGCGAGGAGGGCAGCAUCGACGCGCUCCGCUGCGCCGCGUGCAGCUGCCACCGCAACUUCCACCGGAGGGAGUCCGACUUCCCCGCGGGGGGCGAGGGCUCGCCCUUCUCUCCCACCGCAAUGGUCCCCUACGGAGGCGUGCCGCCGCACCACCAGUUCUCGCCCUACUACCGCACCCCGGCGGGCUACCUGCACCACCACCAGCACCACAUGGCCGCGGCCGCCGCUGCAGCCGCGGCGGGGCACCCGCGGCCGCUGGCGCUCCCGUCCACCUCCCACAGCGGGCGCGACGACGCCGACGAGCUGUCGGGCAUGGCGGCGGGGCCCAUGUCGGCGCUGGUCCCGCUGAGCAGCAUGUCCCUGGGCGCGGGCCCGUCGGGGUACGGCUCCGGGUCCGGGUCCGGCAAGAAGCGGUUCCGCACCAAGUUCACCCAGGAGCAGAAGGACAAGAUGCUGGCCUUCGCGGAGCGCGUGGGGUGGCGCAUCCAGAAGCACGACGAGGCGGCCGUGCUGCAGUUCUGCGACGAGGUGGGCGUCAAGCGCCACGUCCUCAAGGUCUGGAUGCACAACAACAAGCACACCCUCGGCAAGAAGCCGCCCAGCAUUUGA